UACAGAGGAUGCAAGCGUUAUCCGGAAUGAUUGGGCGUAAAGCGUCUGUAGGUGGCUUUUUAAGUCCGCCGUCAAAUCCCAGGGCUCAACUCUGGACAGGCGGUGGAAACUACCAAGCUGGAGUACGGUAGGGGCAGAGGGAAUUUCCGGUGGAGCGGUGAAAUGUGUAGAGAUCGGGAGGAACACCGGUGGCGAAGGCGGGUCUCUGGGCAAUUCCUGACGCUGAGGCGCGAAAGCGUGGGGAGCAAACGGG
rnacentral:rRNA from 1 species